CAUCUGGGGGAUCGCUCGGCUCGAGUACCGAAGAAGGUCGUGACAAGCUGCGAUAAGCUGCGGGGAGAUGCAUGAGUGUCUAGGAUCCGCAGAUAGCUGAAUGGGACUUCCUAUCCCUUAGGGGAUAAUCGCAAUAGCGAUAGGGAACCCCCCGAAUUGAAGCAUCUUAGUAGGGGGAGGAAAAGAAAUCAAUUGAUACUCCGUGAGUAGUGGCGAACGAAAACGGACUAGGACAAACCGAAUCUCGACUGGAAACUGAGAGACAUGUGGUGCGACCAUUUAUUGCCUAAAUUACUGAAAUAGAAGUCGUCUGGAAUGACACAGCCAUAGAGGGUGAAAGUCCCGUAUAUGUAGGUAACAUGGCCACGUAAUGAGUCAGGAGUAGCAUGCGUUGGAUAUCGCGUGUGAAGACGGGAGGCAGGAACUUCCAAUCCUAAGUAUAGCUCGAGACCGAUAGUUUACAAGUAACGUGAGUGAAAGCUGAAAAGAAUCCUUAGCGGGAUGUGAAAAGAACGUGAAACCAGAUGGGUACAGGCUGAAUAGGCGUGAAAGCGAAGAUAUGAGCAGCGUCUAUUCGUGCGUUUCGAAAAAUGCCCCAGGGAGUCUUGAUCAUUGGCGAGGUUAAGGAGUUGAUCUCCGUAGCCGAAGGGAAACCGACAAGUCCGCAGCAGUUUACUGUGAGGGACGAAGUGUGCUCGCUUGGAGUCAAUGGUGGAGGACCUGAAGCCCGACGAUCUAUGCCUGGCCAGAUUGAAGCCCGACGAAAGUUGGGUGGAGGAUCGAACCGUUGCUGAUCUGCAAAUCGCUCGGACGAGCUGGGUAUAGGGGUGAAAGUCCAAUCGAGUUGGGCAAUAGCAGGUUCCGCGUGAAACUACUCGUAGGUAGACGUUCGUGGAGAUUGAUUACGCUGUAGAGCACUGAUUGUGCGUUUAGGGGACUCGCGUCCUCGGCGUGCUGCCAAACUCCGAAGGUGUAAUCGUUGAAGAAGCGGGCAGUGAGUCAUGGUGGGUAAGCUACCAUGACGCAAGGUGAACAAACCAGCCUGAAGUUAAGGUCCCUAAAUAUCAAUUAAGUGUCACAGACAAACCGUGUCCGUGGUCGAAAACAACCAGAAGGUGGGCUUAGAAGCAGCCAUCCUUGAAAGAGUUCGUAACAGAUCACUGGUCUAGCUUGCGGGCCGGGAAAAGGGACGGGGCUCAAAUUGAUUACCGAUACUUCAGACCAUCGAAAGAUGAUGUGGUAACGCGGCGUAGUGUUUGGGUGGAAGCAAGGCUUUGAGGUCUUGUGGACCGGAUACUAAUGAGAGUCUUGGGAAGAGUAGCAGCACAGUGUGGUGAGAAUCCGCACCACCGAAGGGGCCAGGGUUCCUCGGCACUGUUUAUCAGCCGAGGGUUAGCCGGUCCUAAGGCAAUUCUUAAUCGAAAUUGUCGAAAGGGAAUGAUGUUAAUAUUCAUCAGCCCCCCCUGUAAUCUAUGGUGACGGCUCGGGCAAAGUCAUGAGAUCAUAUGUCAGGUCUCAUGAUACCAAGCUUCUGGAGAACUGUUAUAGUGAGAAGGAAGUGAAGUCCUGGGUCCCAUGAAAAGCCACAGGGGGUGACCGUACCGAGAACUGACACAGGUGCCCCUGGGUGAGUAGCCUAAGGUGUAUCGGAUACAAAUAUCGCGAGGGAACUCGGCAAAAUAGCUCCGUAACUUCGGGAGAAGGAGUGCCAGCUUAGGAAUAAGCUGGUCGCAGUGACCAGGGAGCUCCGACUGUUUAAUAAAAACAUAGGGGACUGCCAGAUCGAAAGGUUGUGUAUAGUCCCUGAAUCCUGCUCAGUGCUGGUAUCUGAAACCGGGUUUCAACCUGGCGAAGGACCAGUAAACAGCGGGGGUAACUAUGACCCUCUUAAGGUAGCGUAAUACCUUGUCGCUUAAUUGGCGACUUGCAUGAAUGGUCCA
rnacentral:rRNA from 1 species